AACGCACGAGACCUGCGGACCUGCGGAAGGAUCAUUACAGAGAGGGGCUUCGCGCUCCGGGGGGCUCCGGCCCCCAACUCUUAACCCUAUGAUUACUUACCACUGUUGCUUUGGCGGGCCUUGGGGCUAUGCUCAUGCCGGUUCACCCGGCGAGCGCCCGCCAAAAGCCCAUCAAAAUUCGUUUUAUCAAUGUUGUCUGUAUCCAAUAUCAAUGAAGCAAAAAACUUUCAGCAAUGGAUC
rnacentral:misc_RNA from 1 species